UAUAAAAGCGCCAAUUUCAGUUGAAAUCUGUCCUUUUUGUAAAUUGACAACAACAAAAAGAGACAUUUACACAAAAAGCAAGUCAGCAAACUGGGCAUCUGGGGUUUCCAUUUAAGGAACACUGCAAAUGGUUUAAAUGUAGUACAUACUGUUUCCAGAAGGUGUCACUGUGCCACCCCAGCAGAAAUGUAUUCCAUUUUAACUACACAAUGUCACACCACAUGCUGUCAACAUAAUGAGCGGC